UUAACACGUUAUUAUAAGUCAUUUUAUAUUUAUAAGUUGGUUGAACAACUAAUUUUACCGAAUACUUAAUUUUAAUCAGCUAACUUAUUAGCUAUUAGCUAGCUAGCUAGCCUUUAGUUUAUUUUUUCCAAAAUAAGCUUUAACUCUUCUGCACUUGAAUUGACAUAUCACACUUUUAUGCUUGUUAUGAUAUUAUGCUUUGAAUAUUUAAAUAAUCCAGUAUUUUUAAGUCUAGGAUUUGGGGUAUGACCAUUUUUUAUAUUUUGUGCACUAGUUCAUAUCAGUGCAUUCCCAUAUAUACUAUGACGUGUUAGCUAUAAUUUUGCAACUGUACGAAGGAUACUUAUUAACGGUUUUAGUACUGCUCAGUGUAAAUGACAAUUUUGUGAACUUCAACGCGAAGGAUCUUAUGUACUGUGGCUCAUGUAUAUCAAUAGUCGUAGAAAGCUUGAUGAUCGAUUAACUGCCUAUGAUUCUGCCCUCUAAGCUCUCUGCCAGCAUGCAUCUGCGGCCUAUGAUUCUGCCAAAUUGCAAGUGACCCAAAGCAUCUGGUGGAUCUUGUGGAAGGCAUUAUGGAGGUGAGUAUCAACAUAAUUCCUUGCUCGUGGAAACACUUAUGGGCCAAUUUUGCUUCUAUCACAUGGAGGCCUCAACGCAGCUGAUUUUUUUCCGCUCAAUAAUUGAAUAUUUUCCAGAUUUAGGAAACAGUUCUGAUGACAGAAGUUCCUAGAGUUCAGGUUAAAGUUGCAUUAAACUUGUACAGGUAAGUAAACUAAACAAACUAGCAAUGUCAGGGUAACUUCUUAGGAAAUAUAAUAUACAAGUGGGCUGGUGAAAAUUUUGUAUAUCUGAUCUUCCUUUUGCUGUCUUUUUUUUUUCUCCUUUUUUAUUGUUGGGUUUCUGACAUUUUAAUUUCAUAGGUUGUUACGUUACAGAUGAAUGAAUGAAAGAAUAUUUUUAUUAUUUACCUACAA